UACGUAGGGUGCAAGCGUUAAUCGGAAUUACUGGGCGUAAAGCGUGCGCAGGCGGUUUUGUAAGUCUGUCGUGAAAUCCCCCGGCUCAACCUGGGAAUUGCGAUGGAGACUGCAAGGCUAGAAUCUGGCAGAGGGGGGUAGAAUUCCACGUGUAGCAGUGAAAUGCGUAGAGAUGUGGAGGAACACCGAUGGCGAAGGCAGCCCCCUGGGUCAAGAUUGACGCUCAUGCACGAAAGCGUGGGGAGCAAACAGG
rnacentral:rRNA from 1 species